rnacentral:rRNA from 1 species
UACAGGGGGUGCAAACGUUUGCUCGGAAUCAUUGGGCGUAAAGCGCACGUAGGCGGUUCGUUAUGUCGGAUGUGAAAGCCCUUGGCUUAACCGAGGAAGUGCAUCCGAAAACUGGCGAGCUAGAGUACGAAAGAGGAUCGCGGAAUUCCCGGUGUAGAGGUGAAAUUCGUAGAUAUCGGGAGGAACACCGGUGGCGAAGGCGGCGAUC